AUGAACGCUGGCGGCGUGCCUAAUACAUGCAAGUCGAGCGAACAGACGAGGAGCUUGCUCCUCUGACGUUAGCGGCGGACGGGUGAGUAACACGUGGAUAACCUACCUAUAAGACUGGGGAAAACUCGGGGAAACCGGAGCAAAUACCGGAAAAUAUAUUGAACGGCAUGGUUCAAUAGUGAAAGACGGUUUUGCUGUCACUAAUAGAUGGAUCCGCGCCGCAUUAGCUAGUUGGUAAGGUAACGGCUUACCAAGGCAACGAUGCGUAGCCGACCUGAGAGGGUGAUCGGCCACACUGGAACUGAGACACGGUCCAGACUCCUACGGGAGGCAGCAGUAGGGAAUCUUCCGCAAUGGGCGAAAGCUUGACGGAGCAACGCCGCGUGAGUGAUGAAGGUCUUCGGAUCGUAAAACUCUGUUAUUAGGGAAGAACAAAUGUGUAAGUAACUAUGCACGUCUUGACGGUACCUAAUCAGAAAGCCACGGCUAACUACGUG
rnacentral:rRNA from 1 species